rnacentral:rRNA from 1 species
UACGGAGGAUGCAAGCGUUAUCCGGAUUUAUUGGGUUUAAAGGGUGCGUAGGCGGAUAUGUAAGUCAGCGGUGAAACUCACAGGCUCAACCUGUGCCGUGCCGUUGAAACUGUGUAUCUGGAAUGCGGAUGCUGUGGGAGGAAUGUGUAGUGUAGCGGUGAAAUGCAUAGAUAUCACGAGGAACUCCGAUUGCGCAGGCAGCUUACUAAACCACUACUGACGCUCAUGCACGAAGGCGCGGGGAUCAAA